rnacentral:rRNA from 1 species
GACGAACGCUGGCGGCGUGCUUAACACAUGCAAGUCGAACGGAAAGGCCCUGCUUUUGUGGGGUGCCGGAGGGGCGAAGGGGGGAGUAACACGAGAGUAACCUGCUCUUGACUUUCGGAUAACUUCAGGUAAGUGGGGCUACUAUCGGACAGGAGCUCCUGCUGCAUGGUGGGGGUGGGAUCGUCUCGGCGGUCGUGGAUGGACUCGCGGGUUAUCAGCUAGCUGGUGGGGUAGUGGCUUACCAAGGCAUGGACGGGUAGCCGGCCUGAGAGGGUGACCGGCGACAAUGGGACUGAGAGACGGCCCAGACUCCAACAGGAGGCAACAGUGGGAAAUAUGGCACAGUGAGAGGACGCCUGAUGCAGAAGCGCCGGGUGCGGAAUGACGGCCUGUGGGUUAUGAACAGCUUUCGCUUAUGACGAAGCGUGAGUGACGGUACUGGAUAAAGAAGCACCGGCUAACUUCGUG